CCUGGGGAGAGAUGCACAAAGGGCCGGGGAUGGAUGCUGGGAACAGCUGGAGACCUGAUAGGAUCGUGUAUCAUCAGCAGAAGAAAUACAUCUUGGCAGGGGAUGAAAAAGGGUACCAGGAGCUGUUGUGAAUGCUUUGAGGACAGUGAGCAUCUUUCUGUCCCAGGCCAGAGCGAAGGGAUGCUCACAGGCACUGGCCAGAACAGCACAGAUGGUUUGGGGUCACUUUUUGUGCCAUCAAUUCCCCCAGUCCAACCCAGCAGAGUCAUUCUGUGAACCUCUACACCUCCUUCCAUGAAACAAUGGGAAUAGCUCCUUUCUUCCUCACACAACAAAACCCUAUCCACCAGGCAGUGGAGCCACGCAGCCACCUCCUGCACCAGGGAGCUUCCCAGCAGCAAUCCCUGCUGCAGUAACUCAGGCAGCAUUUGGGGCCAACCACUGUGCUCUGCUCUGUGCCCUGCAAGCUUUGUCUCCACACCACCAGCACCAACCCAAGGGUGAGCCAGCACUGCCUGCUGGGGUCCAGUGAGGUGGAUUUGCAAGUCAGCAGUUUAUAUGGCACUCCACGUUUGCAGCACAGCUCGUUAGCUGCAUGCCAAGGUCUCGCAUGCAGAUUGAUGGCAUUCGCCAGCAUGAGCUCCUCCACCUCCCUCUCUCAGGCACAGUGCACUGAACACUCUCCCAGCAGUGCCUCCUGACAGCCACAGGCUGUGAGAAUGGGAUGUCCCAUGGACCCUUCCCACUCAGCCUUCUGCACAAAGGGGUUUGGAAACUCCUUGAUUCAGGCAGCGCUGAGCCACAGAAAUCCUACAGCCACAAACUCCUGUGGCAGCUGUCUGUCUCCUCAGCUGGAAUCCCAUGGCUUUGAAAUGAGAUGCCCCGCUCAGGGGAAGGAGGGAGAGGUCUCAGUGGCGGCUGGGAAUUCAGGAAGGAUCCUGACUCACCCACCUCUCGCCUCUUAAUCCCUGUCCCAAAGAGGGGCUACAUCUGAUAGCGGUGCUCAUCCUCACCAGCUCGCUUACUCACGCAGCUGUUCCCAGCCCCGCGUGCCAGCCAAAUCCCUGCUCUGGCCAGGAACAGGAGAAGGAAGGGGAUGGGAAUGCUCUGGAGCCGACCUUCCCUGCUCACCUCCCAUGUAAGGGAGCUGCCCAGAGGCUCCUGGCAUAAACUUGACCCAGACGGCCCGACUUGUCAGACACCAGCACCAGCCCUGGGCUAAGCAGACCAAGCCCAGCACGUCCUCUUCUUUCUGAUGGUCUCUUAAGAAAUAGCUUAAAAUCCUCUGGCAUUUGAAGGGCUGUCCUAGCAGCAACCCGUGAGCCGCCCGCCGGUAUCAACAAAAGUGAGAACCCAACACCAGGAAGCUGCGAGCAGUGAGGAGCUACAGGCGAGGCCAGAGAAUUCAUGGAGCUCUUCUAUGCAAAGUGCAAGGUGCUGUUGAACAUAUCUCAGCUAAGAUUUAAAA